AAGCUCGUAGUUGAAUUUCGGGCCUGGCUGGACGGUCCGCCUUUUGGGUGAGUACUGUCUGUGGUCGGGUCCUACCUUCUGGCGAAGCGUCAUGGCCUUAACCGGCCGUGGCGGGGAACCAGGACUUUUACUGUGAAAAAAUUAGAGUGUUCAAAGCAGGCAAUCGCUUGGAUACAUUAGCAUGGAAUAAUGGAAUAGGACAAUGGUUCUAUUUGUUGGUUUCUAGGACCGUUGUAAUGAUUAAUAGGGAUAGUUGGG
rnacentral:rRNA from 1 species